rnacentral:rRNA from 1 species
UACGUAGGUGGCAAGCGUUAUCCGGAAUUAUUGGGCGUAAAGCGCGCGCAGGCGGUUUCUUAAGUCUGAUGUGAAAGCCCACGGCUCAACCGUGGAGGGUCAUUGGAAACUGGGGAACUUGAGUGCAGAAGAGAAAAGCGGAAUUCCACGUGUAGCGGUGAAAUGCGUAGAGAUGUGGAGGAACACCGGUGGCGAAGGCGGCAUCCUGGACCAACACUGACACUGAGGAGCGAAAGCCAGGGGAGCAAACGGG